UAGGGAAUCUUCCGCAAUGGACGCAAGUCUGACGGAGCAACGCCGCGUGAGUGAAGAAGGAUUUCGGUUCGUAAAACUCUGUUGUUAGAGAAGAACAGCGCAUAGAGUAACUGUUAUGCGUGUGACGGUAUCUAACCAGAAAGCCACGGCUAACUACGUGCCAGCAGCCGCGGUAAUACGUAGGUGGCAAGCGUUGUCCGGAUUUAUUGGGUGUAAAGCGAGCGCAGGCGGUCAAUUAAGUCUGAUGUGAAAGCCCCCGGCUCAACCGGGGAGGGUCAUUGGAAACUGGUUGACUUGAGUGCAGAAGAGGAGAGUGGAAUUCCAUGUGUAGCGGUGAAAUGCGUAGAUAUAUGGAGGAACACCAGUGGCGAAGGCGACUCUCUGGUCUGUAACUGACGCUGAGGCUCGAAAGCGUGGGUAGCAAACAGG
rnacentral:rRNA from 1 species